rnacentral:ncRNA from 1 species
AUAGCGGGGGAGCUUGUAAUACAGGCUGAGAGGAAAGUGCAACUUUCGACCCAUACACCUGAUUUGGAUAAUGCCAACGUAGGGAUGCCUGUA